rnacentral:rRNA from 1 species
UACGUAGGGUGCAAGCGUUAAUCGGAAUUACUGGGCGUAAAGCGUGCGCAGGCGGUUAUAUAAGACAGAUGUGAAAUCCCCGGGCUCAACCUGGGAACUGCAUUUGUGACUGUAUAGCUAGAGUACGGUAGAGGGGGAUGGAAUUCCGCGUGUAGCAGUGAAAUGCGUAGAUAUGCGGAGGAACACCGAUGGCGAAGGCAAUCCCCUGGGCCUGCACUGACGCUCAUGCACGAAAGCGUGGGGAGCAAACAGG